GACGGUGGGUGCAAGCGUUGUUCGGAUUGACUGGGCGUAAAGGGCGUGUAGGCGGUUGGUCAAGUCUGAUGUGAAAGCCCGGGGCUCAGCCCCGGAAGGGCAUCGGAAACUAGCCAGCUGGAGCGCGAUAGAGGAGGGUGGAAUUCCUGGUGUAGCGGUGAAAUGCGCAGAUAUCAGGAAGAACACCUAUGGCGAAGGCAGCUCUCUGGGACGGUACUGACGCUGAGACGCGAAAGCGUGGGGAGCGAACAGG
rnacentral:rRNA from 1 species